GCAGAGCUUGCUCUGUGGAUCAGUGGCGAACGGGUGAGUAACACGUGAGCAAUCUGCCCCUGACUCUGGGAUAAGCGCUGGAAACGGCGUCUAAUACCGGAUACGAGCUGCGAAGGCAUCUUCAGCAGCUGGAAAGAAUUUCGGUCAGGGAUGAGCUCGCGGCCUAUCAGCUUGUUGGUGAGGUAACGGCUCACCAAGGCGUCGACGGGUAGCCGGCCUGAGAGGGUGACCGGCCACACUGGGACUGAGACACGGCCCAGACUCCUACGGGAGGCAGCAGUGGGGAAUAUUGCACAAUGGGCGAAAGCCUGAUGCAGCAACGCCGCGUGAGGGACGACGGCCUUCGGGUUGUAAACCUCUUUUAGCAGGAAAGAAGCGAAAGUGACGGUACCUGCAGAAAAAGCGCCGGCUAACUACGUGCCAGCAGCCGCGGUAAUACGUAGGGCGCAAGCGUUAUCCGGAAUUAUUGGGCGUAAAGAGCUCGUAGGCGGUCUGUCGCGUCUGCUGUGAAAACCCGAGGCUCAACCUCGGGCCUGCAGUGGGUACGGGCAGACUAGAGUGCGGUAGGGGAGAUUGGAAUUCCUGGUGUAGCGGUGGAAUGCGCAGAUAUCAGAGGAACACCGAUGGCGAAGGCAGAUCUCUGGGCCGUAACUGACGCUGAGGAGCGAAAGGGUGGGGAGCAAACAGGCUUAGAUACCCUGGUAGUCCACCCCGUAAACGUUGGGAACUAGUUGUGGGGGUCCAUU
rnacentral:rRNA from 1 species